rnacentral:rRNA from 1 species
GCAAGUAGAACGCUGAGAGAGGAGCUUGCUCUUCUUGGAUGAGUUGCGAACGGGUGAGUAACGCGUAGGUAACCUGCCUUGUAGCGGGGGAUAACUAUUGGAAACGAUAGCUAAUACCGCAUAACAAUGGAUGACACAUGUCAUUUAUUUGAAAGGGGCAAUUGCUCCACUACAAGAUGGACCUGCGUUGUAUUAGCUAGUAGGUGAGGUAACGGCUCACCUAGGCGACGAUACAUAGCCGACCUGAGAGGGUGAUCGGCCACACUGGGACUGAGACACGGCCCAGACUCCUACGGGAGGCAGCAGUAGGGAAUCUUCGGCAAUGGGGGCAACCCUGACCGAGCAACGCCGCGUGAGUGAAGAAGGUUUUCGGAUCGUAAAGCUCUGUUGUAAGUCAAGAACGAGUGUGAGAGUGGAAAGUUCACACUGUGACGGUAGCUUACCAGAAAGGGACGGCUAACUACGUGCCAGCAGCCGCGGUAAUACGUAGGUCCCGAGCGUUGUCCGGAUUUAUUGGGCGUAAAGCGAGCGCAGGCGGUUUGAUAAGUCUGAAGUUAAAGGCUGUGGCUCAACCAUAGUUCGCUUUGGAAACUGUCAAACUUGAGUGCAGAAGGGGAGAGUGGAAUUCCAUGUGUAGCGGUGAAAUGCGUAGAUAUAUGGAGGAACACCGGUGGCGAAAGCGGCUCUCUGGUCUGUAACUGACGCUGAGGCUCGAAAGCGUGGGGAGCGAACAGGAUUAGAUACCCUGGUAGUCCACGCCGUAAACGAUGAGUGCUAGGUGUUGGAUCCUUUCCGGGAUUCAGUGCCGCAGCUAACGCAUUAAGCACUCCGCCUGGGGAGUACGACCGCAAGGUUGAAACUCAAAGGAAUUGACGGGGGCCCGCACAAGCGGUGGAGCAUGUGGUUUAAUUCGAAGCAACGCGAAGAACCUUACCAGGUCUUGACAUCCCGAUGCUAUUUCUAGAGAUAGAAAGUUACUUCGGUACAUCGGUGACAGGUGGUGCAUGGUUGUCGUCAGCUCGUGUCGUGAGAUGUUGGGUUAAGUCCCGCAACGAGCGCAACCCCUAUUGUUAGUUGCCAUCAUUCAGUUGGGCACUCUAGCGAGACUGCCGGUAAUAAACCGGAGGAAGGUGGGGAUGACGUCAAAUCAUCAUGCCCCUUAUGACCUGGGCUACACACGUGCUACAAUGGUUGGUACAACGAGUUGCGAGUCGGUGACGGCAAGCUAAUCUCUUAAAGCCAAUCUCAGUUCGGAUUGUAGGCUGCAACUCGCCUACAUGAAGUCGGAAUCGCUAGUAAUCGCGGAUCAGCACGCCGCGGUGAAUACGUUCCCGGGCCUUGUACACACCGCCCGUCACACCACGAGAGUUUGUAACACCCGAAGUCGGUGAGGUAACCUUUUGGAGCCAGCCGCCUAAG